AUGGCUGCACACAGAGAAUAAACUAUAUACUGUGCAGCGCCACUUGCAGAACGGGAGGAGCAACGGGUCCUCCCACCCCACACAGUCCACCAAACAUCACAUCUAAUUCCAAGAAAUUCAGACAAAAAAAACUCUUCUCUCUCCGCUGUUCCUAGGAUAGAAAAAGGAUGUAUCCUACUUGAUUUUACUCCUAAGCAGCCUGUCUCUAAUUUCAACAUUGCAAUAUCUUAUUUGGGGUUUCCUUACGAGAAGAAAUUAAUUCUGUGCAUUUCCUUGACUGUCCCCAUUCACCAUUCGAAACGUAGCAAGUAUUAACUCAUAAUUCAACCUUGAAACUCAAAGAAAUACAAAACUAACUAAUGAGACAUACUCUUAAUCUAACCACUUGAAACUUGGAAUAAUGUUGAUGAAUUCAUACGUGAGCCUCUGCCUGGCCAAUAAAUCCUGCCUGACUGAUGCAUAGUGCUGAACGAGAUACUCCAGAUGUGGCCUGGUAAAAGCUAGAUGUAAAAAAAGAGUAUUCUAUUCAUUAUUGGUUGCUUUUAGUUAUUAGUUACAUGGGCACAGAAAUCCCUUUGUGCAUCAUUGUUUCUUGACCCUCACAAUUAGGAAAACAUUUUGAAUUGUUGUUCUUUAAUCCUAACAUAGCAAACUUCACAUUCCCCACACCAAAAUUUGAAUGACACUAUUUUUCUUAAUGGUGUAAUGGUCGGUCAUUCGUGACUUCCUAUAUGUAUUUGGACAACGUGAUUGACUAAUAUCCUUUAGAGAAGAAAAUCUGUCAUUGAUUUUGUCAUUAUCAAUUUGGUCUCCAACCUACAUGUGUGAUUGAUUCCACCCAUUGGACCUGACUUAGCAAGGCCACUUCAUGGAAAUUAGAGUUGGUCAGUACAUGAUGCGCUUGCCAGCAGCACUCUGAUCCCAUCAAAGGAUUUUUUAAAUGGCACAACUACCUUCAAACUGUGAGGACAUUUCUGCUGGAGACACAAGAGACUGCAUGUGUUGAAAUAUUGAGCAAAACACAACGUGCUGGAGUACUUCAGUGGGUCAGACAGCAUCUGGGGAAGGGAUGGAUAGAUGACGUUUCAGGCUGGGACCCUUCUUCAGACUGAUUAGAGUGGCGGGGAGAGAGGUGUAAGCGGGACAAAGCCCAGCAAGUGAUAGGUGGAUACAGGUGGGGAGGAGGAUUUGAUUGGAGGAUGGAUCGAGGUGACGUUUAAAGGGCAUCUGAUGAGGAGUGAAAUGUAAAGCCAGAGGGAGAGAUAUGGGUGAGAGGGGCAUGUCCAUUCUCUCCACAGAUGUCCUGACUUGCUGAGUUCCUCCAGUGCUUUGUUUUGCAAUAGAAACUUCUGCACAUCAUUUGCUAUCUUCCUGCUGAUUACUUCUUUCUGUUCCUUUUCGUUGUAGUGAAAUAGUUCCCUCAUAUAGGACCUUCCAUUAAGCAGGUUCAUCUCCUAUAGGUGUUUACAUCGCCUUUACAUUUACAGAAAACAAUUUAGAUCCUCAUUGUUUAUUUAUUUAUUUGGCUUAUUAGCUUUCUUUGCUGCCUCUCUCACAUUCUGCUGUAUUAUAAAUUUGUGUUCUCUCUCUUAUCCUUCCCUUUCUUUUUGCAUCACAAAAACAAAUUCUAUUUAAGGAUUGUUGACUUGAAACUUUGAGUCUUGUUUCUUUGUCUCCAAAUGCCACCUGGCAAGUUAAGCAUUUUCAGUUUUCCAUGUUUAAAUUGGAGAUAUGAUAAUUAUCUAAUAUGGUAAUCUGACUAGUUUAAUUUGUUUUAGAGAAAUAGGAUAAAAACAGGCCCUUCGGCCCACCGAGUCCUAGUCAUCCAUUGAUCACCUGUUCACACUAACUCUGUCAUCCCACUUUCUCAUCCAUUCCCUGCACAUUAGGGGACGUUCACAGAGGCAAAUUAACCUGCAAACCCUCACGCCUUGGAAUGUGGGAGGAAACCCACAAGGUCACGGGACGUGCAAACUCCACACAGACAACGCCUGAGAUAAUACGAGUUAACCUGGACUAGUGACUGAGCUGUAUGCAAAAAUGAAGUUUACUUUACUUGGUACAGGUGACAAUAAAGUAGCAUUGAACCAUCAUGGUUGUACGUUCAUAUUCAAACUCCAUCUCUAACACCAGCAACAAUGACAAGAUGGCAUACAGGAAGGAGAAAGAGAACUUUGUAACAUGACGUCAGGUCAAUAACCGCUCCCUCACUGUCGGCAAGUGAAGGAGCUCGAUAUUGACCAGAUACCGUGGAGGAGUACAUGCCCCAAUCACUAUCAAUUGUUCCAAGGUGGAAAUGGCUGAGAACUUCAAGUUUUUUGGCUUUAAUAUUAUCAAUGAUCUAUUGUGAACCAACCACAUUGAUGAGACCACCAAGAAGGCACAGCAACGCCUGUGUUUCUAGGCGAGACUGAGGAAAUGUGGCAUGUCUCUAAUGAUUUUCACAGACUUCUGCAGAUGCGCCAUCGAAAGCAUGGUGUUGGGUGGCAUCACAGGUUGGUUUGGGAACAGCUCUGCCCUAGGCCACAAUAAACUGUCUAUGGAAUUGAUGUACUACAAUGCUGAGAACUAUAUUCUGCACUCUGUAUCUUCCUGUUUGUACUUGACUUGACUUGAUUGUAUUAUCUGAUUGGAUAAGAUGCUGAGCAAAACUUCUCACUAUACCUUGCUACACAUGACAAUAAUAAACCUAACCAGUCCUUGCCUUUCCAAAUGUGAUUUGAUCCUGUCUCAAGAUCCCCUCCAAUAACUUGCCCAUGAUGGAUGUAAGGUUUACUGAUAUGUGGUUUCCAGAAUUUUCCUUGCAAAAUGUCUUAAAUAGAGGCACAUUUAGCAACCCUGCAGUCUUCCGACACCUCACUGUGGUUAUAGAUGAUAUACAUAUCACUGCCAGGGCCCCAGUGAUUUCUUCCUGAGCUUCCUACAAGAUCCUAGAGCACACUUGAUCAUGUCCUGAGUAUUUAUCUACCUUAAGCCAUUUAAGGCUGACAAUGGCCUGUGUUCUUUAUCAACGUUACAUUUUUGCACACCUUCCAGUCAAUGUUCUAUAUCUCUCUACAUCAGUGUCUAUAUCUCUCGUUUCCCUUUCCCGUGACUGUCAGUCUGAAGAAGGGUCUCAACCCAAAACGUCACCCAUUCCUUCUCUCCAGAGAUGCUGCCUGUCCCGCUGAGUUACACCAGCUUUUUGUGUCUAUCUUCGGUUUAAACCAGCAUCUGCUGUUCCUUCCCUCACCUUAAAGCUACCAGCUCCUCCUCUUCUGCAAUGUGGAUUCUCUUUGACAUCACUAAUAACUUCCUUGAGUUCCCAGCACCCAUGCCUUUCUCAAUGGUAAAUACAAACAAGGAAUAUGUUUUUAUCACUUUGCCCCUCUCCUGUGCCUUCACAUAUAUAGAUGACCUGGUUGAUCUUUAAGAAGCCCUGUUCUCUGCCUACUUACUUUUUGCUCUUAAUCUACAUAGAAUCUCUUAGCUUUGGCAGUUCAAAGAUAAUCUAUCUCCUUAUUUCCUACUUCAAUGUGUUCCUUUCUCCCCUGCACUCUUCCUCCUACUGCUUAAUCCCAGCUGCCUAUAACUAACAAACGCCCCAUUUGUCUUUACCAGAGCCUCAAUACCAUUUGAGGGUUCCCUAUUCCUGCCAGUCUUGCCAUUCACUCUAACAGGAAUAUCUUUGCCCUGACCUCCUGCUAUCUCACUUUUUAAUAGUCUCCCACUUGCCAGUUGCACUGUGGCGCAGCGGUAGAAUUGCUGCCUUGCAGCGCCGGAGAACCGGGUUCGAUCCCAGCUACGGGUGCUGUUUGUACGGAGUUUGUACGUUCUCCCCGUGACCUGCGUGGGUUUUCUCCAAGAUCUUCGACUUCCUCCCACACUCAAAAAACCAUAUAACCAUAUAACAAUUACAGCACGGAAACAGGCCAUCUCGGCCCUACAAGUCCGUGCCGGACAAUUUUUUUCCCUUAGUCCCACCUGCCUGCACUCAUACCAUAACCCUCCAUUCCCUUCUCAUCCAUAUGCCUAUCCAAUUUAUUUUUAAAUGAUACCAUCGAACCUGCCUCCACCACUUCCACUGGAAGCUCAUUCCACACCGCUACCACUCUGAGUAAAGAAGUUCCCCCUCAUGUUACCCCUAAACUUCUGUCCCUUAAUUCUGGUCAUGUCCUCUUGUUUGAAUCUUCCCUAUUCUCAAAGGGAAAAGCUUGUCCACAUCAACUCUGUCUAUCCCUCUCAUCAUUUUAAAGACCUCUAUCAAGUCCCCCCUUAACCUUCUGUGCUCCAGAGAAUAAAGACCUAACUUAUUCAACCUUUCUCUGUAACUUAGUUGUUGAAACCCAGGCAACAUUCUAGUAAAUCUCCUCUGUACUCUCUCUAUUUUGUUGACAUCCUUCCUAUAAUUGGGCUACCAAAAUUGUACACCAUACUCCAGAUUUGGUCUCACCAAUGCCUUGUACAAUUUUAACAUUACACCCCAGCUUCUAUACUCAAUGCUCUGAUUUAUAAAGGCUAGCAUACCAAAAGCUUUCUUUACCACCCUAUCUAUAUGAGAUUCCACCUUCAAGGAACUAUGCACAGUUAUUCCCAGAUCCCUCUGUUCAACUGUAUUCUCCAAUUCCCUACCAUUUACCAUGUACGUUCUAUUUUGAUUUGUCCUGCCAAGGUGUAUAUAACCAUGCCAAGGUGUAUAUACAGGUACAGGUUUGUUGGUUAGUUGGCUUGGUAAAUGUGAAAUUGUUCCCUAGUGUGUGUAGGAUAGUG